GAUGAACGCUGGCGGCGUGCUUAACACAUGCAAGUCGAACGGAAAGGCCCAAGCUUGCUUGGGUACUCGAGUGGCGAACGGGUGAGUAACACGUGGGUGAUCUGCCCUGCACUUCGGGAUAAGCCUGGGAAACUGGGUCUAAUACUGGAUAGGACCACUUCUUGGAUGGUGUUGUGGAAAGUUUUUUCGGUGUGGGAUGAGCUCGCGGCCUAUCAGCUUGUUGGUGGGGUAAUGGCCUACCAAGGCGUCGACGGGUAGCCGGCCUGAGAGGGUGUACGGCCAAAUUGGGACUGAGAUACGGCCCAGACUCCUACGGGAGGCAGCAGUGGGGAAUAUUGCACAAUGGGCGCAAGCCUGAUGCAGCGACGCCGCGUGGGGGAUGACGGCCUUCGGGUUGUAAACUCCUUUCGCUAGGGACGAAGCGUUUUUGUGACGGUACCUGGAGAAGAAGCACCGGCUAACUACGUG
rnacentral:rRNA from 1 species